GGGGGCGUAGUUCAAUUGGUAGAGCACCGGUCUCCAAAACCGGUGUGUUGGGAGUUCGAGUCUCUCCGCCCCUGCCA
rnacentral:tRNA from 1 species